UCCUAGCCAUUCCUUUCUCGAUCUUUCUUGUCUCGUUGUCUUUCUUAAUUCUCUUCCUAAGCCUUUAUCCUAAAUUUGAACUUAUCCUUACUAUUUUUGACUUAUCCUAUUAAGAGAAAGAAGAGACUAAUUGGACAACCUAAGAGACUUAUGUAAGAAAGAAGAGAUUAGAACUCUUGGAUGAAUGAAACACCCUGGCACGCAUCCCCCAUUUAUAUUUGGAGAUCAGAUGCCAACCCUAUCCAUGUUGG
rnacentral:lncRNA from 1 species